rnacentral:misc_RNA from 1 species
AAAAAGAUCUAUACUCAAUCUUCUCCUUGCAUGUAUUGCUUGGCUAAUGAUUGAUAGAUAGAUAACAUGAAGGCUUCCUCCAAAGAAUCAUCAGGUUCGAAAUAUCUGCGACAAGCGAAAAUUUAUCCUUUCCAGUUCCAAAAUGUACUUGGCAUAUGCUUCCUGGACUACUUUCUGCCAAUGGAGUCCGCUGUCAAAAUUGGGGAAGCCAUUGAUAGCUUGUUACGUCCUUUGCUCUUAGCCGUACGUCACAUGUUCUCCCCCAAUCCAAAGUUCAAUGCCUCUCUUUGCAAAUGAAUGAUCCAAACUAAAUUUUUUAUAUGAUGAAAUUGCAUAAAUCAAAGUCAUAUUCUUGCAGAUCCGUAAAAACUACUAAAAAACGUAUCAUGCGGAAGUAAUAUUCUUAACAUACCUCCUUCCUAACUUCUAAAUGAUGACAGAUUCAAGCCCUAAAAAAAUGUUCGAAUAGUUAUGCGAGAUACAUAAAUACUGCUCACAAUAAUCGAAACAAAAUUCAAUAUAAUGCCAUGAGUAAACAAAAUAACUAAAAUGAACAGCAUUUUUCUACAUUAUUUGAUAGCUUGAGUUAUUGGGGCAACAUAUUACUUGUUCUUCUUCUUGCCUCUUUUUCUUGAACUAGGUUCAGCCUCUUGUUCUUCAGCCUUUUGCUCCGCCUCUAGUAUAGCCAACUCAUCAAGAAUUGGUUUAAGUUCCCUAUAACGAGCUUCAGCAAGAUCAAAACCAUCCUUGCGAAGCUCCUUUCCAGUGUGUUGCGUAUGUUCAUGGGCUGCCAUUUGCCAGUACAAGUUUGUCCGCCUAUAGAAAUCCCUCAAGGAUUCUCCAGGCACUGGGGUUCUUUGUGAAUCUGAAAGGCCAAGCUUGGCUCUAAUCUGCUCUAUCCUGGCUCGUUUCUCUUUCCUUCGAAGAUUCUUUUUCUCACCUUUUAUUAUAGCAACAGCAUCUCCCACUUGAAGUGAUGCAGAAUCAUUGUUCCUAGCCUCUGCAUCGCCAUCAUCACCAUCACCAUCAUCGUCAUCAUCAUUCUCAUCACUGCUGCCAUCACUGCUGCACCCAUCUUCACUUUCAUCUUCAUCCUCAUCAUCGUCUUCAUCCUCUGAGGCUUCAACCCACUCAGACUCAGAUGCCGGAAUAAUACACUUCCACUCAUCAAGUUUGCUGAGAUUUAGAGAACAUAAAUCGUCAAGUGUAAUUUCUUGGUCUUUACUCUCCAUCAUCCCCCCAUAUAUGUACAAUGUAUCUUUGCCAACAACCAUGCAAGAAUUUAUACGUCCACAGGGCUUCAUUAUCUCUGGUGAAACAGAAUUUUGCUGAACCAGUUUAGCUUUAGAUGCAUCAGGCUUUCCAUCAAAUUUGGCACCCAAAGAACCAUCAUCAACUACAGACAUGUUUGUUUUCAUAUGCUGGGAUAUUUCACCAAUGGUGCUUUCAGGAUCAGCUGCAUCUUCAAGGUAAUCUUGAUUCUCAUCAUCAUUUGUGGCACACUCCAUUUCCAUUGCAUUUAUCUUGUCUAUAUCAGAUCCAUUAGACCUUUGUUCAGAGCUUUUUUUUAACUUAUCUUUUGUUGACUUUUCCUUCCGCAGCUCCAAGGGAUACCAGCGAUAGUUGUCUAAUUGGAAGCCAUAAAGUUCAUUCAAGAACAAGCUCAUCAUGACGUCUCCUUCCCUUUCCAUGUCCACAACUCCCCCAAAUAACAAAGCACGCUUCUUAUGAACACACAUCGAGAACCCAGCACGAGGCCCAGGAGGCAUCCCACUUUUCUUUACCUUAUUCCAUUCCCAAGUCCUAGGAUCAAGGGACCACAUGUCUGAGUGAACAAUUCCUCUCUCAGAGCUAUUCUUAUCAGAUGCAACCUCUUUUGAAUAGCCACCAUAUAAAAAAAUCUAGAAUGUUAAAUACCAAGAAUAAUAUCACCAUCAAAACAAGCGGUAUAUUAAGGAGGAGGAGGGGUAAAUAACUAUGAUGCAACAUUGAAGGAUGUCUGAAGAAAAAGCAGUCAUGGGCAGAAGUUAUUAUAAUAUCUGUUCAGUAAAAACUAAGAGAAAUUUUGAGCAGAAGUUAUUACAAAUUACUUCAUCUUUAUUUAUUUGCACACAUCAACAGUCAAAAUCAACAUAAGGAUAAUAAAAUUAGUGCUAAUCAACUGAGUUUUGAUCUUUUAAUUCAUGUUUGAUAUUAAUAAACAAUGUAAAAAGCAUGAAGAGUGUGAUGGCUAUUACAUCAUUCAGUGCAGAUGAAGGUUGAAGGAAUGCAUAUAUCUUUUACAACAAGGAGGUUAAUCCUUAUGCAUGCAAAAUUGGGAUCAACAACCAUCUUGGCAUCUAUUGAUAAACUGUCACUACUGAGGCAAUAAAAGAGCAUGUAUGUGCAAAUAAAGCCCAAAUACUCACAUUUACAUUUUUGUAACAGCUUUUAAAUCACAUAAAUCACCAGUAAAAACCCAAGUCACCAAAAACUGGAAUCAAGUUCCCUCUCCAAGAUCUAUGAAUCAUGGAAAAAACGAGACCAAUGUAAUAAAUCAUCAUGACAGAGCUUUUACAACUGAUAAUUAACUUUAUAAUCACCCAAACAUAAAAAAGGGCACCACAAAAUGUGAAAUGUCCAAAAAGCUCAAUAUGAUAAGUUCACGCGCAGCUCAAAUAAAAUUCGACAAUCUAAUUGUUGGUUAGAUUCCCUAAAUAUUACAGCACACCUUGAGCAGAAUCUAGAAGAUUACUGAACAAAGAAAACAACACCAUCAGCAUUUGAACUUACUUCAUCUUGAUAAACAAAAAAUUGAAAACCACUCCGUGCACUUGGCCACAUUGCUCCGAGCUUUGGCUUUAUUUCUUGCCACUUGAACUGAUCUAGGUCAAAGAUAUAUAAAUCAUUAUAAUAUCUGCACAAGCCCAAAAAAAAAAAGUUCCAUCAAUCUUCAAAUUAUGGCUUAUCAUUGGAAAGAUUUCAAAAAGAAAAAAAAAAUAAACUUCACUGCAUUUUAAAUGCCCAACAAACUCAAGCAAGGAAGAUAAAGUUGAAGAGUUGUCAUAAAAAAUAAUUGGCAAAUCACAUUGAAAACAACUAUCAAACUAUGAGAAUUAAAACUGAUAGCGCAAAGAGGUUUUAAAUCCUGAUUGAAAUGCCUUUAGAAUCCUAGUCUUAAGUGAAAAUUGCUAUGAGGCCGCAAAAAGUUGGAAUUUUCAUAAUUAAAAUUCAGUGCUCUAAUCAAUAAGAUAAACCAUGCUAUAAUCAAUUUUAUGCAAGUAGGGAAUAUUUUACUUGUUGAGAUCUGAAAGUUGAAAGUAACCAACUUGUUUUACCAAGUUAUCAAUUAGGAAGCAUAUAUCCUGUUCCCAUUAUUGAAUCUUCUAUUAUGAUAAAAUACAAAUUACAGUUCCAAACAGUGGGCUUUCAAAAGGAAAAUUUUAUUUACAAAUUAAAAAAUCCACAGAUACUCAUGACUUAGCUAUAUAAAUAAGAAAGUAAGAAUUAGUCUCUUCACAAAAAGAUGAAACCUCAAAGGUUGCAGUGAAAGAAAAAAGAAGAAAAUUUUCACUUCAGCAUUUCAAAAUUAUUUAUUAGAACCCUAUCUUGAACUGAUACCAGCUUAUUUCUCUCCAGCACCAGCUAAACCAGUAUUGUAAUAUAAAACUCAUUUGGUAACUUAUCAUACCCUUUAAAAUAACUAUAUCUAAAGCUUGUAGAUUGAGGGUUGUCCAUUCUUUCUACAGUUAAUCUCAAAUACACUUAUUUCACUUAUAAGAAUCAUGCUUCAAUAAUCACUAAUUGCAAAGAGACGAAACAAACACACAGGCCAGAAAGUCUAUGCACUUGUUGAAACCUGGAAGAACAAAUAGGAGGCUGAAUAAGUCUCGAAGAACAGAGGUGCACCACAAUAAACUUGCAAUUGAAUUCCUCAAAAUGGUUUUGGACAAGUUACAUGUUAAUUCAAAUGGAUAGAUAAAAUAAAUAACAUGAGCUAAUGAUUUAUUGGUUAUAAAUUCUUAUGCAAUUUUGUAUGAAGACCCAUCAACAACCUCACUUCUCUAAGAGUGUCAUAGAAACCACCGAAAAGAAUAAUUUUGUGCUUGUAUAAAACCAUUCGAUGACCUGAACGUGGACUAGGACAUCCUUUCAAGUUUAAUUGUUCCCAUUGAUUCGUUUUCAGGUCCAAGACCCAUAAGUCCUUGUAGUGAUGGAAGCGCUCCUGAUUUGGAGAUGUGAAUUCACCACCAAAUAUAUAAAGAUAAUUCUUCCAGGCAACUGCCUGAUGAGCACUGCGAGGAGGAGGGCUAUUGGGGCUUGAAAUCCUCUUCCAUUCUUGCUUUUCCACAUCAUAACGGUAAAGGUCACCAUAUACAAAUGUCUUGUUACCAUUGUAGAAUUCACCUCCAUAAAGGAUUAACUCAGUGUCUUUCAAUGGAUUAACGUUUAGUGUACAAUUGGAUCGUGGGGAUGGUGCAGGGACAUUUUCAUCUACAUGGACUUCCUUCUUCUUGGCUUCCUCCUUUUGAAUGCUCAACAAAAUGGCGUCAAUGUCAUCUUCAGGAGAGAGUUUCUUCGUCUCUCUUCGAGUUCUCUUCUCCUCAGCUUUCGCCGUUUUCCUCUCUGUUUUCUCUUUGCCUUUUCCCGGUUUCUUUGUUUUCUUUCCCAUUUCUCUCUUCUCUCUCUCUCUCUCU